rnacentral:tRNA from 1 species
GCCCUUGUAGCUCAGUUGGCCAGAGCAGCCGCCUUGUAAGCGGCAGGUCGCCGGUUCGAGUCCGGCCGGGGGCUCCA